UCUGAAGUUGCUUCUCAAAUGUACGAGUCAUUCAAAUCAAGAAUGACAUGACCAUUUAAGUAAUGAUAUUAACAUGCCCAUAGUUGACGAGCUAAUGGGAGUACUGCAAACUGCAAAGUUCAAACCCAGGUUCUCUUGGCUCUUAAGCAACUGGUAUGCUCCUCUGCAUCACGCAUCUACCUCAAUUCCGAAUUGAUGAUCAUUCCUUUGCAUGCCACGAUUAUUAACAUUUUUCAAUUCGGGAAAAGGACAAAUCAUUUCCAUGCACUUGACACCGAUUAUCCAUCAUUCUUACAUUUAAGUUUCACAAUAUUUUUUAAUGUAAAAUACGCGAGAUAAAUUCACAACCCCCCAAAAAAUCCCAAUACUUU